UGUUUCUUUUUUCUUUACUAUGUUUUAUUGUUUUAUUGCAAUGACGAGGGGCCAAUGAAUUCAGAUGGAUUUUUAGCAUUACAAAACAGAGCUAAUUAGAAAGUUUGGAAGAAUAAAUUGGAUGUAAAAAGUCAUUGAACAUAAAACGAAUGUGAAUGUAGGGUUCUUACUUUUGAGUGUCUCGGCAACUGAUUGAGGAUCUGAAAACGGUCGAAAGGAAGGAAGUUAUGAAUUUAUCAGAACCACUGAUUGAAAGCAGGACGAAGAAAAGGAUAUGCAGAGAGAAUUUCUGGAUUGGUAAAGAUCGUGCUCUCUCCUGGACAAUUGCAGUGUCUAUUUUACUCAUUAAUUUCAUCGCCAUUGGAUUGGGACGGAUGUCCAGCCUCCUCUACGUUGACUUCAUCCGAGAGUUUAAAGUCAACAGAAAAUAUGCCGCCGCCCCAUUCAGCGUUCAGCAAUCCACCAGAAAUUUAUUCGGUAUACACCUUUUAUUAUUAUUUUUUUACUAGCUGAAUACCCGUUCUUCG